GAAAGUAAAAAAGGGCGCAUGGCGGAUGCCUUGGCUCUCGGAGGCGAUGAAGGACGUGAUAAGCUGCGAUAAGCUUUGGGGAGGUGCAAAUGACCUUUGAUCCAGAGAUUUCCGAAUGGGACAACCCAAUAUCUUGAAGAGGUAUUAUCCAACGUUGUUGGAGGCUAACGCAGGGAACUGAAACAUCUUAGUACCUGCAGGAAAAGAAAAUAAACAAUGAUUCCCCCAGUAGUGGCGAGCGAACGGGGAACAGCCCAAACCAUCCAUGUUACGGCAUGGGUGGGGUUGUAGGACUACGCCGUUGCAUGAAGACAUCAGAGAAGAACUUUCUGGAAAGAAAGACCAUAGAGCAUGACAGUUGCGUAUUCGAAUGUUGUCUAAGCAUAGUAGUAUCCUGAGUAGCGCGGAGCACGAGGAAUUCUGCGUGAAUCUGCCGGGACCAUCCGGUAAGGCUAAAUACUCCCGAGAGACCGAUAGCGAACCAGUACCGUGAGGGAAAGGUGAAAAGCACUUCGAACAGAAGAGUGAAAUAGUUCCUGAAACCGUGCGCCUACAAGCGGUCGGAGCUCGUUAAUGAGUGACGGCGUGCCUUUUGCAUAAUGAACCUACGAGUUGCCUUUGCCGGCAAGGUUAAGUGUGACGACACACGUAUCCGAAGCGAAAGCGAGUCUGAACAGGGCGUAUAGUCGGCAGUGGCAGACGCGAAACCAAGUGAUCUACCCUUGGCCAGGUUGAAGGCUGGGUAACACCAGCUGGAGGACCGCACCAAUAAGCGUUGAAAAGCUUCUGGAUGAGCUGAGGGUAGGGGUGAAAGGCUAAUCAAACUUGGAGAUAGCUCGUACUCCCCGAAAUGCAUUUAGGUGCAGCCUUGCGGGUUACUGAUGUGAGGUAGAGCGACUGAUAAGAUGCGAGGGCUUCACCGCCUAUCAAGUCUUGACAAACUCCGAAUGCGUGUCAGUUCUAUGUCAGGAGUGAGGGCAUGGGUGCUAAGGUCCAUGUCCUAAAGGAGAACAAUCCGGACCAACAGCUAAGGUCCCGAAAUGAAUACUAAGUUGAACUAACGAAGUCAGAUUGCUAAGACAGCUAGGAUGUUGGCUUGGAAGCAGCCAUUCAUUUAAAGAGUGCGUAACAGCUCACUAGUCGAGGAGUUUGGCGUGGAUAAUAAUCGGGCAUUAAGCAAUUUACCGAAGCUAUGGGAUCAGUAAUGAUCGGUAGGGGAGCAUUCCACUCUGCGUCGAAGGUGAAGCGUGAGCUUUGCUGGAGCGUGUGGAAAAGCAAAUGUAGGUAUAAGUAACGAUAAAGGGGGUGAGAAACCCCCUCGCCGAAAGACUAAGGUUUCCUGAUCAACGCUAAUCGGAUCAGGGUAAGUCGGGUCCUAAGGCUCAGCCGAACGGCGAGGCCGAUGGCAGAACCGGUUAAUAUUCCGGUACUACCUUAAGGAGUGACGUGGAGACGGAGUCGUGACAGCGCCGCGGACUGACGGAAUAGUCCGUUGAAGGGUGUAGAUGUUGAUUGUUCCAGGCAAAUCCGGAACGAGAGUCGAACCUGACAGUAUGGAGCGUCCUUCUGGACAAUCCAAUAGUGCGUGUAAUCAUACUUCCAAGAAAAUCCGCUAAACUUAAUCCUUACGGUACCCGUACCGCAAACGGACACACGUAGUCGGGUUGAAUAUACUAAGGCGCUUGAGUGAUUCACGGUUAAGGAACUAGGCAAACUGACCCUGUAACUUCGGGAUAAAGGGUCCUCAAGCAAUUGAGGCGCAGAGAAUAGGUCCAGGCAACUGUUUAACAAAAACACAGGGCUGUGCAAAAUUGAAAGAUGAAGUAUACAGCCUGACACCUGCCCGGUGCUGGAAGGUUAAGAGGAGACGUCAUCGCAAGAGAAGCGUUGAAUUGAAGCCCCAGUAAACGGCGGCCGUAACUAUAACGGUCCUAAGGUAGCGAAAUUCCUUGUCGGGU
rnacentral:rRNA from 1 species